rnacentral:lncRNA from 1 species
AUUCUCCUGCUUCAGCCUCCCGAGUAGCUGGGACUAUAGGCCCGGCCACCACAACCAGCUAAUUUUUUUUUUUUUUUUUUUUUUUUUUUUAGUAGAGACGGGGUUUCACCAUGUUAGUCAGGAUGGUCUCUAUCUCCUGACCUCGCGAUCCGCCCGCUUCGGCCUCCCAAAGUGCUGGGAUUACAGGUGUGAGCCACUGUGCCCGGCUGAAAGCCUGAUAUAUCUUUCUACCAUAGCAAGAACUAGCAGCACCUUACCCAGUAUGAGACCGACCCAGGUCUGCCUUAAUAUAUAUACCGUAAUAUAUACCUAACAGUUUUUUUUUUUUUUUUGAGAGGGAGUCUCGCUCUGUCGCCCAGGCUGGAGUGCAGUAUCGCGAUAUCGGUUCGCUGCAAGCUCCGCCUCCCGGGGUCACGUCAUUCUCCUGCCUCAGCUUCCGGAGCAGCUGGGACUGCUGGCGCCCGCCACUACGCUCGGCUAAUUUUUUUGUGUUUUUAGUAGAGACGGGCUUUCACCGUGUUGGCCUAGCGGUUCUCCAACUCCUGACCUCAUGAUCCCCCCGCCUCAGCCUCCCAAAGUGCUGGGAUUACAAGCGUGAGCCACCGCGACCCGCCAACACUCUUGACAACAGUGCUGUGCUAAGAACUUGGGGGACUUCAAAAAGUUCACCAGUUCCUGUGUCCAUGGGUGAAAAGAUUUUCUACAUCUUUCCUUGACUAGAAACAGAAGUCCUGAAACAAGGUACACCUUCUUGAGGCUUACUUGGUGAGUCUAAUUUGUCUUCUGGCACCACUGUGAAUUUGAAGGCUUACGUCUUCUUCCCUGAUCAUAUGUUUUCUACAUGUCAGGAAUAUAACGUCAGGAGGCCAGAGGCUUUGUCCUGCCUAAUGUGUUAUUUCCACACUGAAUAAAAGCACCUGAGUCCUGGUAAGUCUAAUUUGCUAGGUGUGGCAAUAUGACCAGUGAAAAACAACAAGGGCAGCAUUUCCUGCAGUUCGGUGGCACAGUAUGGUUCAAAGAGGUAUAAAAGGAAGUCACAGGCAUUUUAAAAAGGUUGUACAUCUAGCAAUACCUAACAAAAUAGGAAAUCAACUUGGAAAGCCAAUGGCUGUGUUUUGAGUUUAUGGAGAGCCAUAUGUGGCAAGGAACUGAGGGUGGCAUCCAGGCAACAGACUUCAAGAAACUGAGGCUGUCAGUCCAACAACCCACAAGAACUGAAUCUGACCAACAAUCACAGGAACAAACUUAGAAGUAUACUCUUUCCCAGACAAACCUUCAGAUGAGACCACAGCCCCAGCCAUAAGCUUGAAAACAAUCUCAUGAGGGACCUUGAGCCACAGGCAUGUAGUAAAGCUAUGCCAGGAAUCCUGCCUGCCCCACAGAAAAUGUAAAAAAAAUAAAUUUUUAUUGUUUUAAGCCACGAAGUUUUGAAGUAAUUUGAUAUAAAAC